AUCAGUACAAUGCUACUGAAGGCAGUGUAACAAUGACUAUUUGAAUAAACUGAAAAUAUACUCUCCAGAAGAUGAGAGGCUGUGGGAUAUGCAGGGGUAUGAUCAUCUCCCAUAUGAAAGAAGAAAAAGCCUAUUUUGCUCUCCUUUUCUACUGGACUGAACCAAAAUGGGUGGCAGCAGCUCAUACUCCGGCACCAAGCCUGGCACAGAAGAACUUUUAAUGCACAG